UACGGGGGGAGCAAGCGUUGUUCGGAUUUACUGGGCGUAAAGGGCGGGUAGGCGGCCACCGCAAGUCGACUGUGAAAUCUCCGGGCUUAACCCGGAAAGGUCAGCCGAUACUGCGGGGGCUAGAGUGCAGAAGGGGCAACUGGAAUUCCGGGUGUAGCGGUGGAAUGCGUAGAGAUCCGGAAGAACACCGGUGGCGAAGGCGGUCUGCUGGGGGUAAUGCUGACACUGAGGCGCGACAGCGUGGGGGAGCAAACAGG
rnacentral:rRNA from 1 species